rnacentral:lncRNA from 1 species
UUGGUCUUGCUGACUUCAAGAAUGAAGCCGCGGACCCUCGCACUGACGAGGAAGAAUAUUCCUGAGCAAGACACAGGGUUUUCACCCUGAUAGAUGGAAUCUGAGCUACCUUCAAACUUUUAAGGGGGGACUAUGGUGACCGCCAGGAGAGGAGUCCCAGUUGAGCCAUAUGGACCAGGGAUGGCGGACAGGAAAGUUUGUCAGUGGGGCUGAUGCACAGAUGGGGUGCACGAGCUCCUCACUGGGGAAAUUUUGUGGGGGAAGGAUGCCCUCAUAGCUCAAACGUUCAGCUCACUCAAGAGUGGGCCAGAGCUAACAGCUAUCACUGUACUCACAGCUCCCAGGCCUUACUGAUCCAAUGGUCUCUUCAGAGAUUUAUGGCUCAGCUCCCAGGAACAAAGAUGAUUUUAUGUAAAUAUUUAUGAAAUUCCUCCCUCUUUCCUUUCCCUCCUGCCUCUCUCUCUCUUCCCUCCCUCCCUCCCUUCCUUUCUUCUUUCCUUCCUUCACUCCUUUUUGCCUGCCUGCCUGCCUUUCUCUUUUUUUCUUUCUUUAGAAAGAGGGAUUUAUAAUUCUUUUCCAAGUAAUGUGGGGACCAUACCAUGAAGAAGACAUUCUUCCUUUUGGUCCUCUGACUCCGAAUGCAACCUCAUUCAUUCAUUCAUUCAUUCAUUUGGUCAGUAUUUGGAGUGCUGUUGAUAGGGGUGGGGUCAUAUAGCCCUCACAUCUAGGUAAGUAGCCCCAACACAGCAAUAGGUGAAAUUUAAAAAAACACAACCUGAUUAAAUUCCAAAGUGGAAAGUCUAUACCAGUGUUUUUUAAACUAAUUCCCCAUGAAAAUCACUCGGGAAACUUUUAAAAAAUACACAUUCCCAAGGUUCAGGCCAGAAUCAGAAUCUCUAAUUUUUAGCUUUAAAAAAAUGUUACAAACUUCGCAGGAAAUUUUUAUGUAGCUUGCCC